ensembl:lncRNA
UAGCUCUUUAGUUCACUUUUUAUCACAGAAAAUGUUCUCUUUUGCAGAAUCCCUUGAUGGGAAAGAAAUUAAAGAAAUGGAAAGAUGUUUCUUAAUAAACUGGAAAGCCUCCAGAGCUGCCAGGAAAAAAAGCAAUGAAAGAAUGACAGAUGAACUUGCAGCCCGUGUACAACAUUCUGACUCUAGAACACCUUAUCCCACUCUUCCAUUUCACCACAGUGACUCUGUGAAAGAAAAAGCAAAAUAUUUAGAUUUGGCUCACGAGCAGAAAGUUGAAAGAAAAUCUCUGCCAAGAGUCCGUGAAAGAAGAAGUCAGAUUAAAACUCAGGUUGAGGAGGCAUCUGAAGUAAGUCAGAAGUAGUUUGAAUUCUAAAAGCCAGAAGUUACAGGAUGUGAAGACUUGGCCAUUAUUGAUUUUCUUUUUCUCCCUCAAAGCUUACAAAGAAAGAUACUGGUGUCUCUCUGGAUAUGUUAUCUGUGUCUUUUUAAUCUCAAAACCAGACAAAAUUAAGUCUGUUGAACUUAACACUUCUAAGAACAUUCAGAAAAAUAAGGGGUCUUCCUAUUUAUUUACAAGCAAUGCUUUGUGUCAAAAGCAUGUAAAAACAUCAGCACAUGCUAAGCUAAACUGUUUGCCUAGUUCUUAAACUUCUUCAAGACAUGAACUGGUUUUAGCCAGUGCCUGACCUAGUAGCUGCUUCUUUCNGAUACUCAGCAAUUGUACAGAGGCAUGUUCACAGUAAGCUCAUGGAGUCAUUAAGGUUGAAAAAGACCUCUAAGAUCAUGCAGUCCAACUGUAAACCUAACACUGCCAUAUUCACCACUAAACCAUGUCCCCAAACACUACAUCUACACAUUUUUUUAACACUUCCAGGGAUAGUGAUUCCAUAAUUUCCCUGGACAGCCUAUUCCAAUGCUUGACCCUCCUGUAAUAAAGAAUUUUUUCUCAACACCCAAUCUGAACUUCCCCUGGUGCAACUUCAGCCCAUUUCCUCUUCUCCUGUCACUUGUUACUUCAGAGAAAAAAAAUACCUGUCUACAACCUCCUUUCAAGCAGAAAGAAGCUAUUAGCACAUGAUUUUUGAGAAGAUCUGUAGUCCUAAAAAAUAAUUUCCAUCAUUUGUAUUUUUCCAAGUUCUGGUCAAUAAUGUGGAACAGUUAGCACAGGAGUCACGAGAAGAUUAAUGAUGUCUGUGCUGAUUAAUUUUUUGAUUGAGAAUAUAGUUCAUUAAUUUAACUUCAAAUUCUGUUUGUUUGGUUGCUUUGCACUAGUUUGAGUAAUUAAAUAAACGUUUAAGACUUCUGAUACAGGAAAAUUCCAAUCCUACAGAUAAGGAAAGGAAAGCCCAGAUUACAAAUUGCCCCUGAGAAAAAAACUUUCAUAAUGCAGUUUCUCUGUGUGAAUGGCAGGUCAGCAUCUUGUGCUUGUGGCCCUCUAUGAAAUAAAAAAGGAUUUUUUCCUGAAUAAGGAAAUCAGGAUUAUGUCUUUUUGCAUGGAAUGUUUCGUGUAUUUUGUUAACAUUUUUAUAAAGUCAAUUUGGUACAGAUGAUUAAAAUACAUUUAACUCCUGCAUGUAUUCUCCCCUUGCAUAACAAGAUCUUCAU